rnacentral:lncRNA from 1 species
AGCCAAAGUUUUCUUCACUAUAAAAUGAAAUGAGAGUAGCUGUGUGGGCCACCUCAAAGGGAUUAUUAGAAAGAUAAGGGUAAUGAAGGUGAGAGUUUCAUAAACUAUAAAGUACCAUAUCAUUGUAAGGGGUUAUUAUUUCCAGGUGUUCCCACUUGAUUGUAAGUAUUGUAAAUGAUAUUAUCUGCCAGUUUUUUCUUUUUAUCUCAGGACAUUGAAAGAAUGGGAGUUUUGAAGGAAAAGAAAGAAAGGAUGAUUUGGGAGAAGUUACAUGAUUUACUUGUCAAGGGCUGGAGUGUUGACAGUGGCCUGACUGGAGAGGCGGUGUGCUCCUCGGGUGGCGUUUGGAACUGCUGGACUGCUUUACUGAACAUCAGCCAGAGUCUCCAGUCCCUGCUCUGGUUUUUCACACAUCUACCACCAACAUCAGUGAAUUUCCUUGUCAAAUGCCUCUUUAAAAGACAGGUGAAGAUAAUUGCUAGUCAGCUGGAAGUGCUGCCAAGAUAUGACCUCUGGGAAGGCCUGGAAGACAAGUGGUAUUGUGCAGCACUGCUAACACGCAGCGGCUGAUGCAAAGUAAAGAAUCAAUUUGAAAUUAAGAUGAGUAACAGCGUCAAGCACUUAUAGUCAUAGUGAAGAGCUUUGUCACCAGGCCCUGGGAGAGAUGAGGACACCGCUCUUCCCUUCUCAGCCUCCCCUUGUCCUGUCAGACUCCAGCUGGUUGGACUCUCAAAUGCUCAGCCAUCUAGAAGCAUUUCCUAAUAAAGCACAGCACCUCUGCCA